GACGAACGCUGGCGGCGUGCUUAACACAUGCAAGUCGAACGGAAAGGCCCUGCUUUUGUGGGGUGCUCGAGUGGCGAACGGGUGAGUAACACGUGAGUGACCUGCCCUUGACUUUGGGAUAACUUCAGGAAACUGGGGCUAAUACCGGAUAGGAGCUCCUGCUGCAUGGUGGGGGUUGGAAAGUUUCGGCGGUUGGGGAUGGACUCGCGGCUUAUCAGCUUGUUGGUGUGGUAGUGGCUUACCAAGGCUUUGACGGGUAGCCGGCCUGAGAGGGUGACCGGCCACAUUGGGACUGAGAUACGGCCCAGACUCCUACGGGAGGCAGCAGUGGGGAAUAUUGCACAAUGGGCGGAAGCCUGAUGCAGCAACGCCGCGUGCGGGAUGACGGCCUUCGGGUUGUAAACCGCUUUCGCCUGUGACGAAGCGUGAGUGACGGUAAUGGGUAAAGAAGCACCGGCUAACUACGUG
rnacentral:rRNA from 1 species